rnacentral:lncRNA from 1 species
AGAUUCAAAUUUGUCUCUGAUUAUUUUGCAUAUUUAUAUUUUUCUCUAAUUUUUAUUUGGCGAGUCUGAGGCUGUCUCACUUUGUAGCCUAAACCAAUGUUAAAUUUUGGGUUCUCUUUCCUCAGGCUUCUAAGCACCAGGCCUAUAGGUGUAGACCAGCACACCCAGUUACUACUGUCAUUUUGGGAUGGAUACUGUCGUCUGGGCUGGCCUCAAAUGGAAGGGGAGCAAGUCAGCUCCACUUGAGCUCCGACUAGCCGGAGAUACAGCUGGGGGUAUCGCCGCGUGCCAUCACACUUAGCUUCCUUUUUAAUUAAAGGUUAAGGAUCUGUGCGGCUGUCUGAAGUAUGAUUUAAAAGGGGCUUUGAUGUUUUUCAGACUUUGCAAAACUAACUUUUUUUUUUUAACUAUUCAGAACAUAGGUAUAUUGAGCUGUUCCUAAAUUCAUGUCCUAAAGGAAAAUAAGACUUGAACAGACCCCAGAAGAUAAGGAUGGAGCAGGAAGCACCUCGUUUGCACAUCUCUGGCAUAAAAAGAUGAGUUGAUUGGCAGUGGCUGCUGGAGAAAGGAUCUGUGCGUCUCAGUGCUGUGUCUACACCGAGAAAGAUGCGGCUGGGACUCUGAAAUAAGCCUCACAUGUACAUUUUCGUCUAAGCAGUGGUUGAGAAAGUCGGGCCUGUGUGUUGAGUUUUCUGACACAGAGGCCAUAUUACAGACGUGAGAUGAUCUU